AUUGAACGCUGGCGGCAUGCCUUACACAUGCAAGUCGAACGGCAGCACGGGAGCAAUCCUGGUGGCGAGUGGCGAACGGGUGAGUAAUGCAUCGGAACGUGCCAUUGAGUGGGGGAUAACGUAGCGAAAGUUGCGCUAAUACCGCAUAUUCUGUGAGCAGGAAAGCAGGGGACCGCAAGGCCUUGCGCUCUUUGAGCGGCCGAUGUCAGAUUAGCUAGUUGGUGAGGUAAAGGCUCACCAAGGCGACGAUCUGUAGCGGGUCUGAGAGGAUGAUCCGCCACACUGGAACUGAGACACGGUCCAGACUCCUACGGGAGGCAGCAGUGGGGAAUUUUGGACAAUGGGCGCAAGCCUGAUCCAGCCAUGCCGCGUGAGUGAAGAAGGCCUCGGUUGUAAGU
rnacentral:rRNA from 1 species